rnacentral:misc_RNA from 1 species
AUCAUAUUGCUUAACCUUAAGCCUAAGGCAAGUGGCAAGUCAAGCACAACUUAAAUCCAACACAUUCAAGUUUUCAUCCACAAACUUGCCGAGAUUUGUUUAGGGUUUUGCUUGAUAUCCUGCUUAGGGUAAACGGCAGUGCUUAAGGUGCAACUCAAGUCAAGCUGGAAGCCAAACAUGAGCAGCAAAACUCAUUUUAUCCUAAACCAGUUGAGAUUUGCUGAGAGUCUGCUUAAUCUUAAGCAGACAG